rnacentral:tRNA from 1 species
CAGGAGAUAGUUUAACUUAGAACAGCAGCUUUGGGAGUUGCAAGCGUAAGUGAAAACCUUACUCACCUGA